rfam:Hordeum vulgare subsp. vulgare, WGS project CAJW01000000 data, contig: morex_contig_141647
AUAAUACUCCCUCCGUCCCAAAAUUCUUGUCUUAGAUUUUGUCUAGACAUAAAUGUAUCUAGUCACAUUUUAGUAUUUAGAUACAUUCAUAUCUACACAAAUCUAAGACAUGAAUUUUGGGACGGAGGGAGUACAAA